rnacentral:rRNA from 1 species
UACGUAGGGGGCUAGCGUUGUCCGGAUUCAUUGGGCGUAAAGGGUGCGUAGGUGGCGUCGUAAGUCGGGUGUGAAAUCUCGGGGCUUAACUCCGAAACUGCAUUCGAUACUGCGGUGCUUGAGGACUGGAGAGGAGACUGGAAUUUACGGUGUAGCAGUGAAAUGCGUAGAGAUCGUAAGGAAGACCAGUGGCGAAGGCGGGUCUCUGGACAGUUCCUGACACUGAGGCACGAAGGCCAGGGGAGCAAACGGG